UGUGAUUUGAAUUUGAAAAGUGAUUUGUGAAAUUCCCUUCUCCAUGAUGAAAUUAAGGUCUUUGCAUGGCAUGAAUUGUGAAUUAUUUUGAGAGCAUGACUUAAAAGCCCCCUUUUUAUCAUGGGAUUUAUGUAUGAUUAAUGUUGGAGUUGAUUUAUGAUUGAUGACAAAUUCUUGAGUUUUAAAUGUCACUUUAACCAUUAUGCAUGUGUUGAAUAAAUGAAAUGGCCACCAUGUGUUAGCGUCUUGUAAAGAGAAUGAUUUGUCAUAAGUUUCAUGUGAUUGUGAUAAUAAGAACCCUCGUGUUAUUUGAUAAAUCUUUGGUGGUCAUUUACAUAUUUUGAAUAAAAAGGGUUGUGGAAUUGAUGUGAUAUGAAUGACUUGCAAGUCUGGGUAUGACGAUACCCUAUUGUGAUGUUCCCUUAACCAAAUGAGAAAGAUUAGUUAUUAAGCAUGAAUUAUGUUUUUAAGAGGCUAAAAUUGGGUUUAAAGAGAAUUAGAUGGUUACCCGAAGAAAAUACGAGUUGAGAGACUCAAUGCUGAAAAUCGUGAUUUAUCGUCACGGGAUAAUGGUACACUACAUUGUGAUCGUGUGUACCUUGAUUCAUGUCAUCCCAAUUUGAGACUAUGGUUAGGAGCCCUCAUUUGUGAUCUUGUGCGCUACUAUGACAUGUUGAUUUGAUUAGGGAUUUUCGCACCCUGCUUUAUGAUCUUGUGUGUCCUCCCUUACUGACACUUCGAUCCUUAUGUCAAAUUUGGAAUGGGGGCCUGGCCGCUGAGUUAAGGGCAAAUCUCAUAACCUGUGGUAUUAUAGACUUGUAGGGUGUACCACCUAGCUCAGAAGUAAGAUAAUGAGUUGAGUCAUGAUUUCUAGAAGAUGAUUUGAAGCUCAUUAAAUUCUGCCCAUAUAUUUUUCAAUUGUUUUAUGCUGGCAUGCUUUUACAAAAUGCUCUCACCUAUAUUGUAUAAAAAUAUAACUUAUUUUUGGAUUGUUCUACAUACUAGUACCUUUGUGUAUUGACCCCCUAUAUUUCAGGUUAUGCGGUAUAGUCCCAUGGUCCAUCACAUCAGUAGCACACUUAGGAUUUAAUAAAAUUGGUGAGCCAUCCAUCUUUCAAAAGACAUUUAUUUAUAUGUUGAUUCUUUCAGUAUAUGGUUCAGCCGGGGGAUUUGUCCCAGCCUAGAAAGUUAAUAUUCAGUAGAGGUUUUGUAAACGGUAGUUGAAGUGUUGUAUUGUCAUAUCUUGUUGACACAUUUCAUAUUAUAAGUUUCCAAUGAACACUGUUAUAACUUUGAUUUUGGGACUACCAUAUUUUCAGUUAUCUUCCGUAUUUUACUUCGCAUGAGUUAUGUUUAUGAUUAUAUGCUAAGGGUUCUCUCCAUCCUUUGAGGUUCGAGAUGCUUGUCGCGGCCAGGGCCUCGAUUUGGUUCGUGACAAGCUUGGUAUCAGAGCAUGGUUCAUGGUCCCAAGGUAUCUACGAAGCCAUGUCUAGUAGACUCUUGCUUAUGGGUGUGUUGUUUACCACACUUAUAAUCAGAUGGCUACCUAGCAUUUAGGAGUUGUUUCUUAUUCUUUCAUACUUUAGUUUGUGCUAUAGCGUCAUCCAUACAAAGGUUAUGCAAAUUCUUUCCUUACUCUAAUAUUAUGAGAUAUGUCUAAUUGUCGAGGCGAUUCAAAUGCAAAGCUUAGAGUUUAAACGAUGCAGUCUCUUUUGAUUGAGUUAUCCAUAAAGUUAUGACAAGCACAAGGACUUGGGAGGAGUCCAUUAGUGCUUCAAAGUGUAUUGAUUUGAGUGUACACAUCUAUCUUAAUGCAAUCGUGCUUUUUAGCUUGAGGUCUGAAGUGUAUUCACCCCUUUUAGAAUCCUUGUUACAGAUGUCAUUCUUAAGGAUAAUAAGAUGUUGCAGAAUGUUGGAGCAAUAUUUUCACCUGAGUAGUAGUAGUAUAUUUUAAUGUUCCAUGACCUAUUGGUAGUGAGAUGGUCCAAAAGUUGGUGAUAUGGAGUCACAAAUCUAGAAGUGAGAGUGAGGGCAACUUUUGCAUAAAAAAACUAGUUUUAGUUGCAUAACUUUUGAUUGGGGGGUGGUUUUUCUCUUUUAUGUUGAUUGGCUUAUCUUGUAGAAAGAUUUGUAGAUUGUAUGGUGGUCUGUGAAGGAAGUAAUUGGCUAUGAUUGUUAUUUAUUCAAAAUAGGAAGCAUCUCAUAGUGAAUAGUUAUGGUGGUUAUAGAAAUUAUUUGUAGGUUGUGAAUAGGAAGGGGUAGAUUAGUCAAUAAGUUAUGGGUAGAGACCCAUCGAUGUAUAUGGAACUUGAAGGUAGUGGGGAUGUAUAUAUGGGUAAGUAAAUAUGAUGUGCUAAAGUGGUAUAUAUUGAUAAGAUCGUAAUGGGUUAUGUUCUAAGUUUAAGAUCGACUGUGCCUAUUAUGUGACUUUGCCCCCUUGAUUGUCUUUUCUUUAGUAGUUGUAAACUAGUACUUCACGUGAGAAGUAUGUGGUAGAUUUUGAGGUGUAGUAAUAAUGUCAUGGAGGGAAAAUGAUUGUAGGUAGUAGUUAAGUAAAAUAAGGUAUUUGGGUUGAUUUUCCAAUUUGAUGGCCUAGUAUAGUAUGUGGUAUGCCUCAUCGGCGGUACAUGAUGGAUUCUAGCCUAUAGACUUAAAUUUGAGAUGUGGAGUAUGGUGGUAGUAAUAGUGUCUUAAGAUUAAUGAUGCAUAUUUUGUAGGAAUGAAUUAGUAGGCUUAAUAUGAGUUGUAAAACGGCCUAGGUUGGCAAUUUAUGGAAGAAAGAGUAAAUAAUUGUUAUAUAUGUGUAUGAGGACUAGGGUAAAAUGAUGAAUUAUGGUUGAGUCAUUAAGAGGAUAAGAGAGUAAGUCUAAAAGACUAAGUUGAACCCUGAGGUAGCAUGUUGUUAGAUAGGAUUUGAUGUAUAUGAGUGUCACGUGUACCUAGAUCACGUUCUCGAAUUUGUAGUAUGGAGAAGUUUGGGGAGUUGUUGUAUGGUGUUCUUUAGAGUUAAAUUGAGGAAAUAUAUGUAGGCAAUAUGAUCCUUUGAGAUGGUUUUACAAAUGUGGUUAAGUUGUAAGUUAUGUGAUUAGAGAUAUAAUGUUAGUGUGUUAAGUAGUGGAGAAUGGACCAUUAUGUGAUAAGGAGUGUGGAUGUGUAUGCUCAUGACCCCACAGAUCAAUAUCUCACAUCAUGCUUGGUUAUGAGAAAAUAUGCUUGCUAUAUGUUACAGAUUCAUGUUAUGUCAGGUCUAGCCUAAAGUGAUAAGGUUAACACAAACUCAUGACUAUCUCAGCUCUGAAAAUGAGAAGCAAUAGCUUCAAGUAUCAAUCCUUGUCUCAAUUGUUGACUUCAUGAAUUCCACCUUUAUGUUAUACAGAUCAUGAUAUAUGCUCUCAUAUUUCUCACUGUACCAGUCCUAAGAACUCAUGUUGUGUAUGUUUACAUCCAAACUACUCUCUAUCUAAGAUCUAGGCAUUUGAUAUAUGAAGCACUUCAUGUCUAUUGUAUUGCAUCUUCACCUUAUGUCACACCUUGAUUAGUAUAAUCAGUAUAAGUUAUAAUUAAAUAGUGUUACUCCCAUUCAUGAUACUUAUGCUCGGGUCCCUCAAUGACCCUCCGUAUGUUAGUAUGAUGGUGGUUAUGGUCGCGUAGUAAUGUCUUAGGUAGGGGAGUAGAUGUUCUUGAUGUUAAAAUUUUAAAGUAAUUUCCUUAGCAAAGGUUAUAGGUUAAGGGGAAAGAAGGAGAUGAAUUCUUGUUAUGUGAAAUAGUUAGGAUGGAGAUAUAUAGCGAAAAUCUAUGUGAUAGUAAUUGAAUUUUUUUGGUCUUAGUGGGGAGAUCCAUGAAGUGGGUGUAGUAAUGAUAGGCUCAAAUGUUGUGAUUGAUUGUAUAUUUGGUUAAGGAAAAAUGUUCAAUGAGAGGUUACAUUCUUUAUUCCAUACUUUUAGAGCUUCAACAAGUUCCUACCCAUCAUUCGGGGAUGAAUGAUCCCAAGGGGAGAUAAUGUAACACCCUGAAUUUUUGGGCUAGACAUUGAACCAUUGUUCCUAGGUGUGUAAAGUCCAAUGUUAUGAGGUGAAAAUUGUCAAAGGAAUAACUUAGAGCAAAGUUAAGCAAAGAGUCUUUGAUUCGGCUAAAUUUUGCUAUUCGAUUCUACAAGGGUCAACUUUGAAAGUGUAUAACUUUUAUAUAUGUGGAAUUUUUCAGCUGGCUGUUAUGUUAGUUGUAGCGCACCUUCCCUCCUUCUCUCACUUUGGAAAGAUUUUUCAAUAUUUUCUUAUGAUGACCUGGUCGAGAGAGUACGAUACAUCGGUGUAAAAGAUUUCCUUUUUUUUGUGAGCUUGGUUUACUUGACCGAAGGGUGCAAUAGAACUUGAAGGAGAGGAAUAAAUACCUGGUCUAUAAUUUUGACAAACGGAGGUCCGCUAUUGGGAAAUAUCUUCUUAGUUGUCAUCAAAGAAGUUGAUGUCUGGGGCUUCCUCUUUCAAAUCUACAUCCAACACCAGAGGUUCCUAAUGAGAACAAAUUGUAAGGCGUUGAAAGAAACCCUUAAGAAAGAUGUCAAGACCCUCUUUGACUUUGAUAUAGAACACAUAAAGGGAGAGAAUCACAGUCUCCCUUAUUUCCUAACAAUAAAAUACAUUUUUGGAAAGGCCAGUAAUAAUGCGAUAUUCCAUAGAGCCUUGGAUCAACUUGAAUUGGCCACGAUUAAAGAACAAAAAGAUCGCUUGGCCGAACAGAUUAGCCCCCUGAUUAAAUCGGAGAAGGCACGCCUAGUUCGAAGGUUGUGGCACCAUAACUUGGGUGAACUUCCAUCACCAAGUGAGAUGGUCGAAAUGAUUAUUGACCGCUUCGCCAGCAAAGCUGCCUAUAAUGCCAACAAACCCAAUGUCCCCAGGGCUAAUUUACGGCACUUGAGGGCUUGGUUGACACGAGCACAACAAUCGGCGGAGCGCGAUGGGAGGGGAAACAUGAGUAUAAAAAAGAAGAUUUCUUCCAUAUCCAUAAUUGAAGGAUAUUGAAAGUAGAAGAGCUGACGUAUUGUUUCACAUUUGAAUUUCUCAACCAUUCUACGUUCCCGAAAUGGAUCCUAUCAAAUAUUUCACAUUUUCUAUGAUUAUCUCUAUUUCAGGUAUUCGGGGAAUCCUCCUUAAUAGACGAAAUAUUCCUAUUAUGUCAAUGCCAAUUGAAUCAAUGUUAUUAGCCGUGAAUUCGAACUUUUUGGUAUUUUCUGUUUCUUCGGAUGAUAUGAUGGGUCAAUCAUUUGCUUCAUUGGUUCCAACGGUGGCAGCUACGGAAUCUACUAUUGGGUUAGCUAUUUUCAUUAUUACUUUCCGAGUCCGAGGGAAUAUUACUGUAGAAUCUAUUAAUAGCAUUCAAGGUUAAAGAUGACUCCUAGAGAGUUACCAAAAUACGAAGUUCUCUUCUCCUUUCUUUCUCUUCUUUCUUUUUGAUACUUGGUUGGCAGGGUCAGGGCCUUUCUCACUGGGCGAGCGCAUCCGAUUCAUCAUUCCUUUCUUAUUCUUAAACCACUUCCCGUUCAGUUGCUGAAAGAUAGAGAUCAAUCUUUCUAAACGAGAUUGAGUUCCACGAAUAUGCAGGCUAGAAAGAUGCUAUUUGCUGCUAUUCUAUCUAUUUGUGCAUCAAGUUUGAAGAAGAUCUCAAUUUAUAAUGAAGAAAUGAUAGUAGCUCUAUGUUUUAUAGGCUUUAUCAUAUUCAAUCAGAAGAGUUUAGGUAAUACUUUCAAAGUGACUCUCGACGGGAGAAUCCAGUCUAUUCAGGAAGAAUCGCAACAAUUCCCCAAUCCUAACAAAGUAGUUCCUCCGAAAUCCAAUGAACAACAACGAUUACUUAAGAUCAGCUUGCGAAUUUGUGGCACCGUAGUAGAAUCAUUACCAAUGGUAUGCUGUGUGCCUAAGUGUGAAAAGACAGUGCAAGCUUUGUUAUGCCAAAACCUAAAUGUUAAGUCAGCAACACUUCUAAAUGCCACUUCUUCCCGUCAUAUCUGUCUUCAGAAAAAUAUAGCCAUAAAGAUGCACGUCUUAGUGGGGAAAAGAUUUUGCCCCCGGUGUAGCUCGAAAGCAAAAAGAGUAGAAUUCAUUUGAGAGACCUUGGUGGUCUUAAGAAUGGUUCGGGUGGGCGAUUCUCUUAAGAAUAAAGAAUUCGAAUAGAAUCUAAUUCAUAUUCAUGUUAACAGAAGAGCGGAUCCAAUACCAAGACGCUUGAGAGAAAAGGCUAGCCUUGUAUAUACGCUAUUUCUGUUUAUGUCAGAGGUGCCCAAAGCUAGAAGCAAGAUUUCUAGUAGAAUAUUCAAAGCUUUUGAGUAAGUAAGAUGGAUGGAUUUGGAAGCAAGUGAAAGAACUAGUUGCAUAGAUAUAGAUAUAGAGAAAGUCCUUUCUCUGAAGACGGUGAUAUUAGGGUUUUGAGAUCGGUUCUGACGUCGAACAGGUUUUCGACCCAAAAAGCUCCACAGAGCUGUCGUAUGCGGGUACUACGAGGCCCACGACUUUCUUGAUUGCCUCAUUCGGGUUAAGAGAUGGCUAAAGUCUCUCCGAUGGUAGCGUAUAUUAUGCUCCAGGUCUCUUGAGCCUCCUGUUGUACCAAUGUCUCCGUUUUAGGGGGAAUAAGGUAAUGAAAUUCCGGUAUGGACUUUUGUUGUUGUUACGACAGGUGGAGAGCAGUGCCCUAUUGGUCUAAUUCCUGCUUCCUCUUGGUAUCGGUAAAGGGGCUGCUAAGUGCUUCCCGAAUAGAUUCCUUUCUCUUCCCCGGACACCGAACAAAGGGAACCCUGGCUUCACUUGUCGUAGUAAGACCACCCCUCUAUAAGCUUUCCCUAUCGCUCUGAUGAACCUCUUUCCGCCUGUUCUCUAGAGUUCAAGAACUGAUUCUGGCCUAUCCCUUAUUUGUCCAUUAAGUCCGUUUUCCGCUAAAGGCAGCAUGAAAAGCACCUAUAUUGUAAUACGUAAGAGGAAGGACGACUAAGCAACUAUGCUACUAUUGGCACCCCAAACUAAAAACUACAACUGGAAAUCCAACUUUAGGUGGUCAUUAUGAUCAGAAACUCACUCUCUGGAGAAUUUUAUUGACCUCGCAUAUAACAUGGGGAAUCUGGUUAGCACCCAUAUUUCAGAAUAAAAGAACAAAGACUUGACUGGACGGUAUUCACGAGCAGAUGACAAGCAUGAGUGAAGAAGGGUCUUAUGUUACCAUUUUUGGUGGUAAAGAAGAUGUUCUUGUUCUUCCAUUCCCCAAACCCACUUCAGCUUUCGACGAUUGGGUUGGUGUUCCAAUAGGCGAGAGGUGUGAAGCUAGAUCGUACUAAAGACAAUGAAAAGAUUUCGAAAAUGAUAGAUUUCUAAAAAAUAAGUAAAAGCAGAAUGAAAGACAGUCCUAUAUUGACAAGGACGAGCUUUUUCACGAAGAAAGCUUCGCGCCCAACUGCUUGUAUAUCGAUCGGAAAGAAGCAGCUGCAAAUGCUAUCAGUGGUUCUUCCUUCCUAUCCCAUCUAUCUAUAAGAGUUGCUUGAUUCACCCCCAUCUUUAAUAGGACUGGACUAAGUUCGGGCAGAUCUCCAUCCCAUUUCACGGAUGCAUCACAUUGAGAAUUGACUCGUCGGAUUAACCACUUAGACGGAGAGUUCCCCAUAUUCCAUUUCAUUGGCAACUGAAAUAGAUCGAAACGGAUUGCGCGGUACCCAGGGCUUCAAAAAUGAAUUGAAAAUAAUAUCGCUUUGCUUGACCUGAUCGUUGUACCAAGGGCUGGUGGUGCCUUGAGCAGCUCUUAGUUCUGUUUGCCUGCCCCACGGCUUAUUUUAUCUCGAUGUUUGAAAGAUGUUCUAUUCACAUACUCGUUUUCACACAUAGGCACAGAGAGUCAGUCAAAACUCCACUUUUUAGCAAGAAGGGCCUACGACAUAAGGCUCCUCCUACGAACCUAUGAACCUCCGAACCUAAGGAAUAGAGUUCAGCAUCGGGAAGCCUACUCCUCGGGCUGUUCGGUACUUGAAUAUGCUUGCCGCGGAGAAAGACUACUUUUCUAUUCGCUUGCCUGCGCGCCUCUACUCAUGCGGGACUGACUGUGGAAUACUAAGAAUGGAGCACGCCACCCGUCCAUGGAGGCAAUAUGGUUGGAAGGCCUUCCUUAGCGGCCUCUUCCUCAAAAGGCAGGAUUGAAGGCAAAUGAGUAGACCCCUACAAGCAUAUGAAGUCGCAUUUUCAGGGCCUAUGGAUGCCUUAGGGGGAAAACUCUCCAGUACAAGAGAGAUUUAUUUGCUUUUUUUCUACUCCCGGGUAUAGGUACAUUACUUCACUUCAAUUAGACAAUAUAAGAAAGCAAGGGCUUUUCUAAAAGGCUCUACGCAUAAUAACAUAGCUUUUAUCUCAGCUAUCGUGUAUGAUAACACGACCGUUGGUGCCCUUCCGAGCUCAGAGAUAAGGGAUUAAAAUUCAUUAGACUGGACAUGUCUUCUCCACGAUCUCAAGGAAAUGAAAAUCAAUUCUCAAAGAUCCAUAAACAAAUCUGUAAAGUUGUCUAUAAAUGGUUAAUCAUAUAUAACCCCUUAUUUUGAGGCAACUAUUCCAUAGCCUCUUAGACUGCCUUGCCUGACCUUGAGCUCUUCGCUUCUCAGUGUUGACAAAACCAAAGGUGCGGACUGUUGAUAGCUAUAGGUUUAAGGUAUGAAAAUAUUCUUUCUGUCUCCUCACUCCCUGACUUCAUUCUCCGAAGGAAGGGCAGUUGAACUCAUACUUGCCAUUCAGAGGAAUCGCUCCUCGGCAGUACUAGUCAGAACUAAACUCCUAACCUUUGAAAUUGAGCUUCUCCGGUCCUGGGAGAGUUGCUUCUUUCUUUGACUUGGUUUGCCCACUUCAAAAGGUUUCCAGAAGACCUUAUCCCUCAAACCUCAUGUGGAAAGAGAGAUUCCUUAGGUUGCUGUUUGAGAGAAGAGAUAUCCAUUGGGACGAAGCUGACAGAAUGGCACCCGCUUUCUUAAGGAUCCUCGCUAAUUCAACUAGUUUUCUUUUCCGGGAAUGAACUAGCCUAGAGGAAAUGGGCGUCAAGCCUAUAAGUCAAGUACGCAAGAAGAGUUUCUAGGCGAAGACACUCUCAGUCGAAGGUAGGGCAGUCUUCCUAGCUUUAGGGUCAAUCGAAUAGAUAGAAGAUCUAGCGCCUCGGUCAGAGAGAAUGGGGCACGAGUUCGUGACCUAAUAGAAUAGUGUUUUGUGAUCCCGGGGAAAGCUAUCAUAGUGAUUCCACUAGACUUGAAAGCAAAUGAAACAAACCGGGAUAAAGCUUUAACCAAGCGUAGUUGGCGGAGUAUGACCUCUUGAUUUGAAGUUUUCUGGAUUCCUAGUCUACUAUAAUUGACUUAAUAGAAUAUGGUAUUUCAUAAUAAUAAUAAUAAUUAGUCAAUAUCACAGGACAGUGAUUGACUGCCAAGUUUAUUUUAGUGCCCCUUUUUUUUCAUCAAAAUAAGUUUAUGCACUAGAGUGCUCCUUUCCUAGGGCUGGUUACAUAUAAGAAUAUAGAUUUUUUGCUUUCUUUGAUUCCCAAUGGUUUUAGUUGUAGUUGUUGUUUGUUCUGGACAGUUUCAGUUGCUUUUGCUGUCGGUCUAGAUGAGGGACGAAGGGACCGGAGUCAACCUUACUCCCUUCAUUUGAGUUGGAGGUCUUACGCCUUUAUCACUAUGCAUAGGGUUUCCCCUCCCCUGGAAAUGAAUAUAAACUUUCUCCCUAUGUUAUUGGAUCACUGGGACCGAUAGCAAAGGAAACAUUGGCUUGAGGGAACUAUGCCCUACUAGUACACUUUCUUUACAAGGGAACUAGGCGGGCGAGCUUACUUCACUUGCUUACCUGGAGAGAAAAACCUAUUAGGGUAGUCCCAUUACUUAAAGUAAGAUAAUGAAAAUCAUUUUAGUAAAAGCUAUGCCCCUUAGCUUAGAUACAUGGGAGAAAAGAUAGCCAUGCCUGCUAACCCCGAUAGUCCAUUAAAGGCAAGAAAAUGGCCUCCAACUGAAACCAUCGAGAAAUCCUUAGCAUGAUAAGUGAAAAGGACAAUAACUGGCUCUCAAUAAACUUCUACUAGAUGUCUAGCAAGAGCAACUUAAGCUCGAUCUCAAUUCUUAGGAAAGGUAACCGACAAUUGCUUAAAGAGAUCUCGCAUAGACCCUUACAAGAUAACAACAUUUAGGAGCACUCUUUUCAUCCGACCCGACUAUAAAUAUCAUUAGAAAAGAAAGCCACUUUUACGCCCAAUAACUCCCAUGUUCCCGAUCUUUCUAUUGCAGGAAAUCCAACUCUGAAGAAUUCAAAUAAUAAUAAUAAUAAUAUAGAAUAAUAAUUUGUCGAAUUCUUCAUUCCAUUCCUGGGAAAAAGCUUGCUUAUUUUAUUAGUAAUGACCACCCUUAGAUGCCGUUGCGAGUUUGUUCGCGGUAGUAUUUACGUUAGUAGUACAGCCCUUCCUUCUUCCUCUUUCGUGUCAAAUCUUUUUCUACAGGUCCCUUUUUCAAAAGAUAUGAAGAAUUAGCAAGUCGAUCUUAGGUGGUUUGAUUGGUUCGUUGAAGAUGGAUUCAAGUCCCAGCGGAAUUGCAGCUAUGCCCUUUUCCGAAAUGCCUGACUUUGUUGAGCAGCUACUUUGCUUCCCCUUUUAGAUAGGCUUUCUGCUUUCAGCCGUUCUUUCUUUCUCUGCGGCCUGCGUGGGACUGAUCCGGACUGAUAACCCGAACCCUUCGUAGAUUGAACUCUCUUCUCUUUAGGCUCGCGUAGGUUAGGGAACUCGCCUCCUUCACUGCUUCCACUCCAACUCGAACUAAAAACCUCUUUCUUAUCUUGACUCAUGGCGUCUUCAUCAGUGAGUAAAUCCUCAUCAUCAUCCUCCGUAAGAUAAAAGAACCUAACUCCUGGGCCUGUGUAGACUCUUGGUGAGGCUGUUCCAAGUGUGUAGGCCCCAUAUCUUGCUCAUCUCCCCCUGUUAGGGGUCUUACAGUAGCAAUGGACGUAGAAGGAAUUCUUUGCAUGGCUUUUAACGUUUGGGUUCAAUAACAUUCACCUUAGUGGGACCCCCCAGCACCAUCUUUCCUUAGUAAAUACUAGAUGGAUUCCCUAUUGCUAUGCUAGCUUCCUUGGGAAUACUACCUUGCACUGGUUUAGGCGGUAUCCGGGCCCUUUUAGAGGCAACAGUUGACUUCCCCUUCUUUAUUGUGGUCCCAAGAGGCGUAAUAACCUAAAAGUUGUCCAGUCCUAAACAAGACAGGAAAACCUUUAGGCUUCUUCAGAAAAGGAACAUCAAACGUUUACUUGGAAAACACGUUAUACACGUAUGAUCCAAGUAAACGUCCAAACAUCCUUUCUAGCAUACCCGUCCGAAGAGUCAAAGGCCAUCUAUCAGUGGCCGACUUUAAAUCAAUCAUACGAGUAUGCUAUCUCACUACCCGUCAAUCUGAGUUCUCGAAAGCGACUGAACCAGCCACCCAGAUGAGACUCCCGCUGAAAAACAUUCUUUUUCCGACAAAACCUGCCACCAAGCUUUGACAAGUCGCUAACUUGCUCAUUUUGUGAUAGGGCCCAGUCACCUCCCUUCUUCCCAACCUCUGGCAGUCAAAGCUAUAGGGAGACGUGCUUCGGUCUUUCCAUCGAUAGAAGCAGUAGGUAUAUAACGCAUGCAGCUAGUAGGCGAUAGGAGGAUGUAAGCCCUGGUGGCAGUGGUACUUUGGCGAAUCAGGCGUCGCUUCUAUUUCCUUUUUUAUUAUUAUUUUUGACCCUACAAUGGCAGAACCUAGAAAGCUGCUCUUUUUUCCCUGUCCCGUGGUUUGAUACCGUCUAGCCUCUAGCUAGGAAGUCUUGGAUUCGUAUACCAUGUAGGUGAGAAAAUCGUCCGUGACUAGCUAUCCUUAUUCUCCUCCCAGGGAUGUUUAGGAAUAUGGGUGUGGGAGGCUGAGGGACGACCACGAUGAGUACGCAUUUUUAUAUAGGAUCAAACAGCUUUUGUUCGAUCGAGGAGCAGAGAUAGAUAUGAGCUAACAACUUAUGUUUUUUGGUAUUUUGUUUUGGGUGAUAUGUACACCGAAAGAAAUUGACGCUACAAACACUUUUCGCCGGUAGUCCUCGAUCGAAAGUUAGCUCGACUCAAGUCGACAAGCGAGAGACAAGGUUGGGUGAGGGUACAAGGCAUCAUGUGGGAUCUACGAUUGACUGUGCCCGUUGUUGGCUUUGCAGAUACUUUCAAAUACUGACGCAGUAUAUUCCAUUCAUUGUAUAUAUCCCUUUUUCGUGUCAUUGACAUCAGAGAUUGCAUUCAAUCGAAUGGUUUGACAUAAGAAAUGUUCUAGUCUAUCUGUAGUAGUUCUGUUUGUUUAUAGUAGAGUAGUACAUGAGGGUGGCGACUCACAAGGGGAGUGUAGACCAGAGCAAUAGGGAGCCAAGCCAGCUACUGUGGUUGUGCCAUUUGGUGGGCCAAAGUAGUCUAGCGGCGGUGAAAAGAUGAUAGUAGACCAGACGGGGGCACCACCAGAACACCCGUACAAUGAUCUAUUUUCUUUUGAAGCUAUAGUACAUAUGCACUUUAUACGUCUGUCUUACUAAUAAUAUUCCUUAGCGUACAUCUGUACUAUAACCCUCCCCUCUGGGAGGUGUUUUCAAGGGAAGGCGGACUCCGCAGCUGUGGACCAGGCACUAUCACUAUACUAGGCGAUGUUUUUAACCAAAAAAAUAAAAAUGAAACAUCUUAGUGUUGUUCCUAGGUUGGGGGUUGGGAGCAAGCCUUCAAGACACGACUUCAAGCUGUUAGUACAACUAGCAGGCUUCCUAGCUCGAGUGAAUGCCGCAACGCAAUAAGGCGAGAGUUUAGUUGCGCAAUAAGGGCUGGGCCUUGUAAUGAAGGAAGAAUUGGAUGUGGAAGGUAGAAUUGAGCCAAUGUGUGGAACAGCAUUCCCAGUAUGACUUGCCUAGCUAGUGCUUCCUAGCUGACUAUACUAAAUAAAUUUCCGUUGUCCAUCCCCAAUCUUGCGUAUGCCAUUCACACAUUUUUCUACAUCCACGCGCGGGGUUGGAAUUGGAAAAGUAAUUGAAUCGAAGAAUCAAAUUCACUCUGACAUCUGUCGAAGCCAGCCUGUGGUAAGAGUUGGGCAGAGGUAGCCCUCAAUCACUUACUAACUUACUCGGUAAAUUAGCUAGCAAGAGGCCAAUCCUCAGGAAUUUGAUUUCCAAGAUAAACCAUUCGAAUGCUACUAAACGACAAGAAUAGUCUAUUUGAAUAGGGCACAUGCAUCACACAUAAGGAAGACACCAAAAGACAACCAAUGAAUUUGUCCGUUUCGGCCUACUUUGGCCUUUAUAUGAUAAAGUACAUCAAGAAGCAACUAAUUGUAAUAGAAGGGUCUAGGUUAGAAUUUGCAGGUAGUUAGCCGCUUUCUCUGUAGGAAAAGACCUUAGGCUGUACAACAACUCCGCUAUUCUCCCUUUCAAGUAGGGGUUCAACAGAGCUUUAUUUAAAAAACAUUAACUACCACUUCGACUGAUGCGGACGCGGUUCUCUCAUCGUGAAAGAAGUAAUGAAAUGAAAGCCCGGGGUCAAAGCGCGUUCGUUGUUACCUGUAUAGCUUUCUAGAGCAGAGAUCUAGCAACGCAUUCUAGGCACAGAUCAUUGGUAUUGGAUGUAUUGUUAGGUUGUGCCGAGUCAAAUCAGCUCUCUUUUUUUCCCAUUGCAGAAAAGAGAUCCCUUCCCCUCGCUUUCCAAAAUGAUGAAUAUGAAGUCCGGGAGGCUGCAGGUACUAUGGAUCCUCUGACACCCAAUCAGGUUGCUUUUCCAGGUGUCGUCGGUGUUGCCUGUAGGUCGUGAUGUGCCUUGAGAUGCCCGUCUCCUGUCCCCCUUCCAGUGGGGAACCCGCUCCUCAGUCGUUGCUCUGCUGCAUCUGGCCCAUCCUCUAGGCACCUUUGGAAGGUAGGGAGUGUGACAACGUACACGCUUUCCUUUACUCCAUAGGGCCUUCUCAUCAGUUGCAGGGUUUGGUGGCCCGAAAUUGACUUGGCUUCGCCAAAAAGCCUCAUCUCUAAAAGUCCAGCUCGCGAGGCGUCCCUCUCGUAGUAGGGUUCUAACCCUCACCUCGCUCUUGUGACAUGCUAUGUUUCCCCUCUCUAUUCCCAAGUAAAGGGUGAGUCCCAUGUGUCAGUUUGUGGAUUGCGGUCUCACACACUAAUCCCUACAAGUGCCCAUAGUAGGCCAGCCGCCCUACCUAAACCAAUCAUCAUAUCGGUCCCUUGGCCCCAUUGCUGGAAAGGCUCGGCUUCAAAACCGUACGUGGAGCUUUCGCCUCAUACGGCUUCUCUAGGGAUAGAGGUAGGCCCAGCGCAGGCUUGUGCGGUUAAGGUUGUUGUACACGACCUCAUAAGAAAAGAAUGAAAAAAAUGAUGUUUCCUUUCCAACGAGUCAAGUGGUUGAAUGCUCCUGCAUUAAUAUUGAAAACGAAAACUUGUCGUCAAAAUAAAAAAAAAGGCAAUCAAUCAGAAAAAAGAAAAAAUAUGGAAAUAGUGAAUCAAGAUCUAGAUGGAUCCCUAUCUUUAUCUCUAUCCACGGAGAUACCUAUCUAUAUCGAGAGAGAUCUAUCUAUGAAUCGGCCUAGACUAUCCUCUAUCCGGAUAGAUAUGUCCCUAUGAGCGACUACGCCGAUAUUUAUAUGUUUUGGCCACGUCCCUUUCUGCUCCGAAGAAGAAGGUUUGGAUCUUUCAAUCUUAUGUCGUGAGGUAUGUGACCUAUGUUAGGUCCAUAAGAUACCACAGCUUUUGGUGUUCUAUGAUUCACCUCCGAAUAAUGAGUAGGUAGUUCGAUCCUUUUUAUUUUGAUCUUUUUAGUAAACUGAUGGGGGGAUGCGGAGCAAUAGGUCGAAUUAAUUUAUAAAGAAGAGUUGUAAACUAUAGGACUUCUUGUUCGAGUAGGAAUAUUUCGGUUUUUCUCGUUCCUUCUCUUCGAUAAGAAUAGGGAUUUGAAAUGAUACAAAUUCCUCUUCAUUCUGUUGUGCUCAGCGAAAGAACUGCCUAAGCAUACUUUUUCGGAUCCAAACUUCUUUGUUCUUUCUAAGUCUUCUUCUUGCAUAGAAGAACGCAACUGUUGCAAAAACCGGGAUUUUAGUAGUAGGCGGCAUCCCCUCUUAGUUUUGAGUAGGCGGAACCAUUCUGUUUUGGUUCUUCUCCACGGGUGAUCCAGGAAUUUGCCUAUUAUUUUCUCAACUGAGAUUUCGAUAUAGAAGGAUCUCUUUAUUUCUUCACCGCGGGUUCUCGCAUCAUUUUCUUGAAAAGAUAUUAUAUCACCGUGGGAGAGUUUAAAAUGAGUAAUGUUAACCAUUCCAUUAUUCACACAAACCCUUCGAUGACUUAUCGGCUGCCUUGCUUGAGGAAUAGUUUCACAAAAAUGGAGACGAACCGGGAUAACGUCCGAUCUUGUUUCUGGAUUGAGUAGAAAAGGGAUAUAUGAAGUUCGUUCUCUUCCUCUGUGCAUCUCUGUGAUGGGUAAAUCUCCAUAAAAAAGGGACAACUUUCGUGUAGUUUGUGAUUGGAUGUAACUGUUAAGAUUUUCUCUAGAAUAAAUCUUUCUCUUAAUAGAUCUCUUCUUGUUCCUCAAUCUUCGGAGAAUACGGCGUUGUAUUAUUGUAAGUUCUCUGUUCCAAACAUUUCCUGAAAGUAGACGACAAGUUUUAAAUCUUAAUGCAGGCAUCGCUCUUUCCUUUGUCCUUCCCCCCUAUUUUUGCCCUAUCAUUAGUUGUUACUCCCGAUCCAAAGCACCCCUUUUCCAUUUAUAGAGAGAUCCACACCACAAUAUUAGUCUUUUUGUGUUAAUGUUCUCAAUGGUGAAUCGAUCAUUCGAUAUCCUUUUCCUUCUACGACGGAAUGGAAGAAAAGUAAUGAAACCUGUGAUGGCUACUGAAUAACCUCCUUUUACUUUCUCAAUAAUAAAGCCUUUGACCUUUGUAUUCGUUCACCAAAUCUUGUUCAGUUCCAUCCAAGCUCAGUUUUGUAUGAAUUAUCAUGGAAGAAGAAGAAGCGGUUCACCAGCCACUAUAUCUAUAGAUCCCACCAAAUCAUUAAACCUGGCGGCUGCUCGUUCUUUGAUCAGUGAUUCACCAGCCACUAGAUAGAUGAAGAAUCUCUCUAAAAUCUGCUCUUUGAUCAGUGAUUCACCUGCCACUAGAUCCAGGAAUCCCACCCUAUUCUUAAACCUGGUGGCUCGGUUGAUUGGCACUCCUGUAGGCUCAUCUUGCAUACAAAUUCUGGGAGUCCCAAGUCCUGCAUCCACCAAGAACAUUUCUUCCCUUAAGCGUAAAACUUCAGAUUGUAAGGCGUUUCCCCUACAUAAGAAAAAACUGGAAUUAGAUCUUGGAAAUAAUCGACUUAAAUAGAUGCUCAUCAUAACCUUUCCUCUGAUCAAGCUCAUCAUAACCUUUUUUUUUGAUCUUCUUCUUCGUGUUCUAUUGAUUAGAAGCAUCCAUCAGCGCCUCGCCGGUUUAGAAUUCGAACACAAAAUGGCCAAAGAAUCAAUUAGUAAUAUGCCUUCUAUUGCCAAAAGACCUUAUCUUCUCCUCUUGGUAAAGAGAGCCUCCAUUUCAAGUUCAACAAAGUGAAAGAAUCGAUUCGAUCAUCAAGUCGGAUAGCAUUUAUCUACGCUAGGAUCCGACCUACAUGAACUUCUUUCUUCUCUUAUGAUAUUUCCAUCAAGAGAAAAAAAGAAGCGUCUACCUUACUUAAGCAAUUAUCAGAUCGAUCUUUGAAGGACAAGAUCUUUUUUUAUGGUUGACACCUCUUGGAAACCAAACCGGAAAGAGAAUUACUGAAAGUUCAUCCAAUGGAAGCUCUUGACUGGUAUUAGAUAGCUGCCAAAAAGAAUGACUCUUUGCAUGAAGAGUGAGAUGCGAGAAAAAGUCAGUCUGCGUUCAAGCGUUUUACUAGAACUUCCUCAGUUAACUCGGGUAAUUCAAUUUCUUGAAUAAGCAAGGAAUAAGCGCUACUAGUCUUUUCGGAAACUGCUGCUAAGAUCCAAAGUUACAUAGAUUUCUCUCUUUUAGUGUGGGGGCAUUAGUAAAAGGCCUAAGCGGUCUUAGCUCCUUCUCUGGUCUUGCCGCCCUUGCCCCUCUUCUCUUUCUCUUCUUUUAGAAGCUGUCUGUGAUCGGAACUUCUUUUGCUUUGAACGACUCCGGUCCUUUUGAAUCUGUUAAAUGGCUAGUCGAAGGUAAAGAAAAUGAAAAAAAAAAGUAACCAGGAACAAGAAUAUCAGAGUCGGCAUUACAAGGAUAGAUGGGAUUAAAGGCGAAGACAAGGCUGCUGUUUAGCAAGAUAGCAACCAUUGAACUAGGCAAUCGGCAAUCCAGUUGCCAUCCAUCAAGACCGAAGGAUGUGGCAUCAGGUAGUUCUUUGAACUGAGGCAUGUAAGCCCAAAGGUGGAUCCAACUGGAACGAUUUCACUCUCUAUGAAGGAAGAUGUAGGACAAAAAACCGGAGUGCCCCUUAUUUUAUGUCUACUACCAGUUCUUCCUACCGAACUACGACCCAUCCUUCAGAUAGAUGUAAGCUAAUGAGCUCGGAUAUUAAUGAACUCUAUAGAAGAGUUAUCUCUCAGAACAAGACUCUUACCGAUCUAUUAACAAGUAGUAGAUCUACACCGGGGGAAUUAGUAAUGUGUCAAGAGAAAUUGGUGCAAGAAAGCGUGGAUACAAUUCUUGAUAAUGAAAUCCACAGAAAACCAAUGAGUUCAUAAGUCUCAUGUCAUAGCUUAUUAUAAGUUAUAAGAAGUGAGAGCUUCCAAAAGCAAUGUUCAUAAGAAAAGCAAAAAAGCUCUUUAUCAUCAAACUGACUCUCAUUUAAGUUUAAUCUUUCUUUGAUCGGAAUAGGGAGCACUUGGAAUCAAAUGAAUUCGGACAAAGAAAGUGCGGAGUCACUAGUCCUGCUAACACGAUAAUCAGGUUAUGUUGGGCUAUUCUCUAGUCACAUCUGGGAAGACUGUCACGUCUACAUCAUAACACCAAGACGGAUUGCAUGAAGAGAUUGAUUUUCAUUUUCGGAUCGCCGCUCAAAAAUAGGUGGAGUUCGUCCUUGAAGGAUAGUUAAGUGUUGCAAUAGGUGGUUGUUUAGCAAACGGGAAGCAGUCUCCAUACCAACAUAGAAGGCUUUGCAGCUAUCUAGAACCAGAAGAGAGCCUUAAUCUAUGAAGGUGCUAACGCUUUACUAAUAUAAUAUAAUGAAAAAGUAAAAGCUCUUCUUCUGUUCUACGAAUCUAACUAAUCUAUACUACUAACUAUAAUCAGACUAGGUCUUCUAGAGUGAACUAGCAUAGCGGAGUGAGAUAUAUCGAAGAAUGAACUUAUCCUUCAACCACAAAUGGGGUCCUUUAGGCAGCCGAUUGCCCCUUUGCUUCCUGACUUACAUCGUGAAAACCCGUCAAUGAAAUAAUGAAAUGAAGAGAAAGGCUUUUCCCAUCCUAUGAGCCUUGCGAGCUCACGAGUCGUUAGUCACUCAGAGGAUUUUAUUGAUUGAAACGCAGCGAUGAAAGGGAAAGACUAGUGUUUAGCAUAUAGCUAAGAGAAGACGGGGCUGUCUCUGUUACAAUCGUUUAUAGUCCUUGUCCUGAAAGCUUAGUGAGGAAAAUCCUCGACAGAGAGGAAGUUUUUCUUUUAAUGUUUUAAUGAGAGUGACCUUUCAAAGAGACUUUUCCCUUCUUAAAGGGAUGGCUCACUCUCCUUUAAAGGUGUCCCUGCUGCACUCUAAGGAUGGCAUAUGAUUAACUAGCGCAGGAGAGAGAGUUUGGCAUUUCCUCGCUCAAUCUCAUAUCAGUCAGUCGUCUUACUAUUGUCAAAUAAGCUCUUAGGCAGCUGUGUGGGAAAGCGAGUAGAGGAGACCCCACCCCAUUCUGUUACCCUUUAGGGGAAAAAUCAUUGUUCCCCCAGCAGAAGACUCAACAACAAAAUCCGUCGUCUUGCCUGUCUCUUUCUGCAAUAAGUUUAGUGCCGAGAUUGCCUACUCAUCCAUUAAACUUUACUGUUCUGUACUAAAUUCCUUUGUUCACCAAUCAACUAAAGAACCAAUUAGUUGUAGCAGUACCUGCGACUGAAAAAGUAGCCCCGAAAAACAUUCAAAAGAAGAGGUCUAGGGCUGGUUUCGGAAAGGGAUCGAAGAGAAUGUAGUUCAUUCAAGGCUCAGACAGAAUUAGUUAGAAGCACCUCUUUCUAUUGAUAUUGAAUUGAUGUGAUGCUCUCUUCUCUCGCUCGUAAACCAUAGGAAAUAUCCGCAGCAGACUUCUUCAAAAAAGCUGGUUGGAGUUUGGGCAGUUGGUCGGAAAGUACCUAGUUCAGUGACGCCUAUUGCCUUCGUCUUAUUCAAACGUUAUUGGCAGAAUGCCUUCAAUCUAGUCUUGAAGCAAGGAACCAAUCGUCAUGCUUAACAUACACGUUUUGUAGAACUUAUUCCCCUCCUCUCUUUAAGUAGAAUCAGGCUGAGCGAUCUACUAUGAAGAUACAAUAGGAAGGAAGAUACAAAUAUAGAAGAGAGAGUCUCGCAUCCCAAGUGGAACACAGAAUUCAUGCUCAACACAACCUAAUUGGUGAGCGGAUGACCUCCUUAGUUAUUAGCAGUUCCAUUUUUUAUACAUAGUAAAAAAGAGGUCCUCAGGUCAACUCGCUUAAAAUAAAGUCGAUAUUCAGUUGCUGUUCUGUAAGCCCUAUUCACUCUGUCAUGAUACGAGGAAUGAAUCUCAGCAGGGGCCCAUCAGCCCCAUCUUUGAAAAGAGAAGAAGGAUAUGCGGCUUGCUUGCAGCUUUUAAAGGGAUCUUUCCUUCCUUCUCUACCUACUUCUCAAUACCCUCUGCCCCUUGGAAAAGAGCCUGAGGCACCUCCUUACUGAUAAAAAGAAUAGAUAGAAAAAAUGGGUUGGCUUAAUACAUGAUUUAAACCACUAGCAUCUACUUUCGAACCAUUCGCCUCUACUCUUUGUUGUGAAGCUCAUUCCCCGAUCCCUACAUCAAAUGAGUCUGUUCUACGCUUUUAGGGUCGAAAGACUAAACCAAGACAAGUGAGCUAAUGAUGUCUCCUUCAUCUGAAGAUGAAAGCAGAAUCUAAAAUACAUUGAGAUCGCCGAAAAAGACACACAAAACUAGGAGAAGAAAGCAGCACCCUUUAUAACCGCCAUAUAUCCAUCGAUUAAACUGGAUUACUGUAUCAGGAUCUAACAAAUACCUUGGCGUAGUCGGCAAAUCCCAACCAGCUCCCAUAUCAUAACAUUUCCAGAUUAGGCCGAACUUGAUCAUAUCCAGAUCUUUAGUUGACCUUCUCCAAGUUGUGCUACACAUAGGAACAUCCAUAAGUUGAUCUAAGGAUACAUCCUCAGACAACGCAACUGUAUAAUACCAGGAACACCAUUUGAGCCACAUUUUAACCGAAUUAUGGAUUAAGUGUGCUCUAAGAUAUCCCUUUCUUUAUUGAACACCAUCUCUUCAGGGAAGAGAUGUAUCUCCUUAGGUUUUAAUUCCUUUCGGAGAAAAUCCACUAUCUUCCCCUUUAGAUAAGGAUUGAGAGGCUUCCCUCUUCUAAUCCAAUAUUCUAGAGGUAGUGGAUGUGACCGGUUUGGCUUUUGUGCAGCCGCCUUCAAUCUUUCCCAUCUUUUAGAUUGGGUAGAAUAAAGACAUGAACGAACUCUAAAACCAGCACCGCCUAUUCUUUGUAAAACCGAUAUUCCUAUCGGAUACUUAUUCGACAUAGUGCAAAGUCCAAGAGUUGUCUUACAGGACAAUAAUAACCUUAAAGAUAUUAGAGAUAAAUCAAUUUGCAUCGAUUUAACCCAAAACUUCUUGUCAAACUCAAUGGCACCAGUGUUUGAUACGAUAGACUUAGCAUCAGAAAUAGUAACGCCGAGACGAUCCAGUAAUUUUCUGUACUGCAGGGCCACUUGUUUAUCAGUGAUUAGGAUAUCAUCACCUAACAAAGCGUAGUCCUUAAAUGGAUGAUUAAGAUGCGGGUAUGCUUUCUUCUCCGCUAACCACACUAUAUAGUAAUGGGACAACGAAAAGAGAGACCAUGAUCCGUAGUAACCUAAUGGCUGACCAUAAAGAAAUGCAAUCUCAUACAUUCUUUUAGUGAUUGGUUUCCCAACCAUAAAGGUAUUGAGACCCGAAGAGCUGUUGAUUAUUGAAGAUGCAAAUGUAGACCCAAACAUACAAGACAUAAGGGAAUACAUAACACUCAAUGGCCAACGGUCCAUUGCCGAUUUCAAGUCAAAGGAAUAACAUUCAUUCUUCUUUUCUCUUCUCAAUUUCAGCAAGGGAAGCUCUUGGUCGAAAGUCCCAUCCAUUGAAAUACGAGAUAGAACUUCCAUUGCCCACUUAUGGACAGGAAACAAAAGUCGCUGUUUUACAUAAUUGCAAAUAGAGAACAACCGUCUCUUACCACCUCCCUAAAUGGUCUGACUCAACCUACUUGUUACCAAUGGCACAUUUCUAUAUGGAUAUAAAUAACCAUCAAAAUGUGGCCCUACGGCUCUCUCAAAAUAUUCAAGAGACUCAUUGGCAAACAGAAAGAAGCAGCAGAUCUGCAAAACUCGGUCCUUCUUUCUUCUUUCUCAAUUUAAAGAGAGGUGAGGAAGGGAGAAGCGAAUGGUUUUUGAUUAUUUUAUUGACGAGAUUUUCAAUGAAAGCUGAGAUGGGGUAAGUUUGAAGAGUCAACUAUUGCCCUACUUUUAUUAUUUCUUAGAAGAAUGGCCCCGGUAUACUCCUAAAAAGGCGAUUCUCGCUCUACUGAAUCAAAAGAAUGACUCCCGCAUUUGGAACAGAUAAGUUUGAUACAGAUAAAAAAGAAUAGAAAUUGGAGAGCAGGUGCCUUUCCCUAGUAGAAGCCCUCCCAGCCCAAAGGAAAAUGCCUAGAUUAUUUGAAAAAAAAAAUACGUCAGUCACGCAUCCUAAUUGGUGAGCUUAUGCCGGCCAUAGUUCCUUCCCUGCUCUUAGUUUACUUUAAAGGCACCAUUUUCACGAGUAAAACGAACAUGUGGUUAACUGAAUGGAUCACAGUUUACUGCUCCAUAGUCUGAUUUCAUUGGUUCGCCCUUCCAGGCUUGGCUCUAGUCUCUACGGGCUCAGCAGCAGCUUUUUGGGAUGGGCCACCAGCUUGAGGCUGUUCCUGAUGCUGGACUUUAUCAAUGGUAGCCACUGCUUCUUCAUUCUAAGAAUCCACCUCUUUGUCGCUUGUGGGCUGGGCGGCUCAGUUCGGCCGAGCCUGUGGGCGUGGUGUUUUGUUCGUAGUUGGAUCGGCAAAUCGAUUGGUGAUUUGCCUUGCUUGGCUUACUUGCUUGAUUGAAAGAGUUUUCUCAUUGGACAGCUACUAUGAAUAAAUGGAUCGCCUCUAUUAAACCUAGCCUUACUAAAUAUCCUAAGAAAAAAAGCCAGCUGCUGCAAGUGUGCUUGAGAAUGAGUUCACGCUCUUCUUGUUACAGUAAGUACUGCAAUUAAUCAGCUCUUGAUGCAAUAGAAUAGGAGUUCUUGGUGUAAGCGUAACCGUAGUUGACUAAAUAUCCGCCGUGGUUGAAUCACAAGGAAGAAAGAGGGUAGCAUAGGGUAGAGUAGAUUCGACGGUAUUCCACAAGGUUAUCCGAGUUCACAGGUGUCCUUGCUUUCCCUUAAUAGUCCGAGGGGAACAGAACUCCCUUGAGAUAGGAAAAAUAAAGAGUGAGGUAGUGGACAACUAAGAAAGAUUAUCUUUUCAUGGUUAGAAGUGCUAUAAAGGAAAGUAGGUAGAAGAAGGAGACAAGAACUAUCUUGCUAUACCUGAAUCAGUUUGACUCAAUGCUUGUACUUGGAUCUUUCUCCCCAGCUUCUUUCUACGAUUCUAGUCAAGCCCUGCUAGUAUACCUCGAGAGCCUUAGCUACUAUUUUUUUUUCCUUACCCAUAUAUCACAGUUAGUACCCUCAAAGCCAUUGCCUUUCAAGUAGAGCGUCUUUUCAAGUCAGUUUUGUCCCGCCUUCUCGUUAGCAAGUGCCUUGGGCCCUGCCUCUCUUUUCCAACAAUCUCAGCCGAGUGCUUCGUUCUUCUCCUUUUAGGCGAGCUACUUCGUUCCAGCCUUUCUCUUUCUAUUUUAAAACCCUUUCAGCUUAAACUCUAUUCGUUUGAGCUCGCAACCCUUCUCGACCUGUCUUUUCAGACUCAUUCCCUUUCUCUUUUGAAUCAAUCUUAGUUCAAGCACUGGUCGACAGACUAAUCUCCAACUAGAUUUCCGGAAUGCACUCCGUCACAGGGAAGCGCAGGUUCGAGCCCAGCUCAUGAAAAGGCCUUUGCUAUUAAAAAAGAAUGAGCUUUCUCUAUCUCCGCAACUCUAAUUGUAACAUGAUCUGGGGAAGCUGUUCAGUAAGGAAAGAUCGUAUCCGCGUAGAGCAGCUAGGGCUAGAGCAGCAAUCUUAUUACUUCCGGCUGACUGAAAGGGAGAAUAAGACUCUUUAUUUGCCUUAGUUUGUGAAAGACCCCUGGAAAUACAAAGAAGAGUAAGAAUACAGUUUCUAACAAGUAUAAAUCUCCAGAUUCAGCGAAUGGAGCAAGAGCAGGUUUCUCAGCUGGAAGUCAUGUCCUCGGCUAGCGGAGAAAUGGAACUAUCCUUGUGAAUUCUUCCCUAGAUUCAUUCCUUCCUUAAGGGAAGUUCUCAUUCGAGGAUUUGAGAGGAUUCUCAUCCGGCUCUUAAUCAACGAAAGAAGGAGUACAAGAGGUCUCACUCGGCGGACCAGUAAACACUUUACCUACGCGAUAGUCAAAUGAGCAUUAUACUGAGUCAUUGGAAAUUGAAGUAAGGGAAUUAGAGACUUCCCUAAUUGGAGAGAAGAGGAGUGACCUAACCACUUAGGAAGAAUCGAAACCAUAGAAAAUGUUCCAGCUUUGCCAUCCUUACCUUCAAUCCAAUCUGAUUCUGAUUCCGCGGAAAGUCUUUCAAGUUCGGAUACGAUCACCCAAUAUAACCCUCAUUAAAUGCCCUAGAUUCUUGCCCAUCGGGCAUGGUGGCAUAUCCUUCUUGAUUGGGCAUUUUUCAGAGAGGAAACUGCAUAUGAAUUAGGCACACUCUAACCCCUGAACUUCCCUCAUAGAGGCGGGUGCUUUACUUCCUGCUCUUUGUCCAUUCAGAGAAUAAGGUCUGAAAGGACAACUCUUAAUAAGAUUAGAUGCUCGACCCAAACUAUUAAAUAUCUCCUGAUUCUCUUAAGGCCACAAAUCACGAAAAGUCGGGCAAGAGCGCUAUCAAAGACUGUUUCCUUGGAAGAAGAGCUGGGCAAAGACUAAGGGAAUAUCUUUUCAUCGCUAUAAGGCAGAUGAAGUUCGACAUUAAUAAAGAGAAAGACUUUCUUCUAAAAUGCGUCAUCCCAUCUUUCAUGCUUCUGGUUCCGUGGAAGGUGAAAGGGCCAGGGACAGAACUCCGGGCACAUAACUCCUGGGGGAGCACUCUCCAGGGACAUAACAGCAUUUUGUCACCACGAGCUUAGGGCAUUGGAUUAGGAUUCCCCCACCUCAUAAAACACCAUUUGAUGCUUCUAACACAUAUGAUAUGAAAGAAGACAAGUCUUUAUUCGCCUUAUCAGGCAUAGUUUAUUUUCAAGAAAGAGGCAGAGGAUAUAAGCUUGACACCGCAGCUAGGCGUGGUUCCGUAGACUGUAUACGUGGUAGGGCCCACUUCAGAAAGUAGGUUUCCAAGCCCGCAGAUUCAAGAGUGAAGUUAGAGGCUGACUAGUGAAACAGGAAAUUCAAAUGAAAGAAGGUUCUUUCACCUUAUAUUGAUUCUUUGUUCCUGCUUCAACUCAUAGAUGACUUCCCGAGGAUCACUCACUCUACUAUAAGACCACUAAGAGGGAUUAGAUUACCAACCCCUCUUUCUAACUAAAACUUCAGAAUAGCUACAUUUGUUGCCUGCUAAAGCAAUUAUCACAGCUCCAGCUGAAGCAAUUGUAACUGCUCCGGUGGAUCAGAGCUACUCGAAAACUGUGAUUGGUGCUUGAGAUCAGAACUGCUUACAGAAGCCUUGACCUGGUCCAAUGGAAAGGGAAAGUGGAAAGAUUGAGCAUAAAAAAAAAUCUAGAGAAUGAGCUAUUACGUGCAAACAAUGGAAAUUCAAUAAUAAGAGUCUGAUCUUCUCGCUUAAGAAUAUGCGAUUCCUCCGGAGUGAAGUUGUUGGGGGGAAGAGAAGAUGAGGAAGCUAGUUUAAUUGAGGAAGCCACUUUCUUUAAUGUAUACUAGCUGGUCUACAAAAGCAUGACGCAUGGCGCUUCUCCUUUUUUUAGUCCACUCUCCCUUAGAAAACGGAGCUUCUUGAAAGCAGAUUUCAAAAUUACAUAGGUGAAUGUAGAGAUCACCGGUGUCCUUGCUUUCCCUUAAUAGUCCAAGGGGAACAGAAUGGCAGAAGCGAAGUGAAACUAUGAACAGAUGAAUCGAUCCUUGACCUCUGCCUGCUCUACUAUGGUGAAUUGUGUGAAUCGUCUCAUCUAAAAAAUGUCAGAUAUCAGAGAGGGAACACUUUGAUUUAGUUAAUUAUGUAUUAACAGCUAGUACGUCUUUGCUGAGUUAGAAUACCCCAAACAUUGUCAUUUGAACACUUCGUUAAAAAAGAAUUUUGAAGAAUGUCAAGCACACUAAGUGCGUGUGAUAACUAGCAAUUCACAAUUCUAAAGAGUCUCGAGUUUCCCAUAGAAAGCAUGUGGCUCAACAGUUUCAAGAUUUAGGCAGAGUUUUGGUUAUGUCUAUCUUAUCCAUCAUAUAUAACAAUUCACUUUGUCCAACACCCAGGAGCAACGCUUAACUUGCAGUUCAUGACACAAUGGAGCAUCUUAGACAAGAUGAAAUUGAGGAUUUGUCAUUGUCCCCUCCAGCUGUUGGCUCCAUGCAGAUUGCUGGAAGCAAUGGCUUUGGCCAUAACAUAGAGUUCAUGUCUCAAGCUUACCUCAGAAACAGAAGCUCUGAAAUUGAUAUAGAGGUAGAGGAUGAUACAUCAAUUGCUGAUAAAGAUCAACCCCUCCCCAUAUUUCGAAAGGUAAUUUUUUCUCUAACCAAUCUUUCAUUUCUCAGAAAUGUUUCAAAGAAUCAAAUUGUUGAUAUAUGUUUCAGAGUUUUGGCUUCUGCCAUUUAAAUGGUCUUUGAAUGCAGUUCGUGGAUGUUGAGUACAAGGUGAAGAUUAGCCAAGCUUCCUCCAACAAUCCUGUCAAGGCAGUUGUAUCAAAGGUAGCUUCCCAGUUUGAGCAUGACAGUUACAAGCAGAUACUCAAGGUUUGAAGAAGAAAGGGUGAAAUUCUUGCCUUAAUGGGGCCUUCUGGCAGUGGGAAAACAACCCUGUUAAAGAUAUUGGGAGGAAGAUUGCAAGAAAAUGUCAGAGGAACUGUCACAUACAAUGACAUCCCAUAUAAUACAGCUAUUAAUAGGAGGUAUAUUACCUAUCCAUCAAUAAUUCUUUUUUCCUUCUCUCUUUCUAUUGCGAAUCUAAAAAAGUCUUUCUUUCAAUGUACAUGAUUUUGUAUUAACUUCCAUACCGAAUUGAGCAAUAUUGUGCUAGGUGGGUUUCGUGACACAAGAUGAUGUGCUUUUUCCACAAUUGACUGUAGAGGAAGCCUUCGUUUUUGCUGCAUUCUUAAGACUUCCAAGCAAGAUGAGUCGACGUCAGAAGUAUGAAAGAGCUGAAGUAAUUAUUAAAGAAUUAGGCCUGGAAAUGUAUGUGAGCUACCUUUCCAUGAACGUCCUUCUCGCCCUUGAUUACAAAGCACCAUAAUCUAAAACUGUCAAAAGAAAUUGAACAUGAUUGUUGCAACUGUUCAUUCCAACAUUUCACAAUCAUAGAUAUCAUCACACGAGAAUAGGUGGAGUACUUAUUAAAGGCAUAUCUGGGGGAGAGAGAAAAAGAACUAGCAUAGGGUAUGAAAUCCUUGUUGAUCCUUCUCUUCUCUUGCUCGACGAACCAACUUCAGGCCUUGAUUCGUCCUCCGCAAGGAAGGAACGAGUCAGUUCCCUUUUCCGUCUUUCGGUAGCAAAAAGAAAAUAGAUUCAAAUUGACACCAAAAGAGUGAGAAAAAGGGGGCAAGUGUACAUUAGGCUAUGUGCAACAAACAAAGUACAAGGAUAGCACCGUACCCUCAUAGUCCUCAAUCUUUGGCAUAUCUGGAUCGGCAAAAACUCACUCGGUGCAUGUAUACUGGGGCACCAUACUAACUUUUCUAUUUAUGAUAGUUGGAGUGUACUCCACUUUAUAAAGAGUGAAUAGAAUUCACUCUAUACCCAUAUCCCUGGAACAACUGUAAAAUAAACUCUAUCUUAGUCUACCCAACUUUGACUUUGACUUGAAAGAGUAAGUUUUCGCCUCUGUUGUUGAAAAGUCAGGACUCGUUGGGGAAUCUAUUCUAGAUCCGCCUGCCGGCCUAAAUCUAUCUUACUCUUCCUUGGUCUCUUCCACAGAUCGGUGGAUAUGAAAUAGAAUGAAUGCAAGAACAAAGUCGCCGGUAUACUGUGAUCCAGACCCAGGAAGGGCCAGACAUGAAUCGAAAAGAGUAACUUUCCUCAUAGGAGAAAGGGUGCGCGCUAAAGCUAGAGCAGCUCUUUUUCGCAAUAUAGGUGUAAUUUCAUUAAUUCAGUACUUAAUCCCUCAUCAAACGAAUAAAAAAAAAGAAGGUUGGCUUUUCGCCGUGCUUCUUUUUUUCAGUUAGGGCGGAGAGAGAGAGGCAACUGAAACUUUUAGAGUCGAGUUUACGCUCUUUCCUCCUCUUUCGAUAAGCUUUUCAUAGCCAUAGUCAUACUCAAGUACCCUUGCAAGGGAAUCCACUUCUGAGAUGGAGAGAAUCCCGGGAUGCAUAUGCUCUUUUCAGGGUUGAAGGAAGAAGUAAGUGCAACUAUUGGACUUCUUUGUGGUAUGGCAGCAGUAGCAAAGAAAGAAGCUGCUCACUCUGCUUUACCGAGAAAGGGAGCAGUGAGAAAAGGGCGACUAUCAUACGGAAAUGAAACUAGUAAAGUAAGAUGCUGGAACUCUUGCUUUCGUCUUGUCUUUACUCUUCCCCCAUCCUCCCGUCGCCUGUCCACUCAACUCUGAUAGCCGAAUCUCCUUUUGUUUGAAGUUUAUUGGACAUGAAUGAACCCGAACAGACGUACCCGCUGCUUCUGCUUUCUGCCAUAUAGGUUCAAUUUCAUAAUGUUAUUACCGGACUCUAUUUAUUGAAUUUGGUCUAGCUAUAUUACAAGCUUCUGUUUUUACGAGCAAAAUCUAAUUAUAGUAGACAACCUGCUUUCUUAAUAAAGAAAAGUUGGGGACAUAGUAAACCUCCUACUAUAAGAGUGAUUCCCUGGGACCGAAAGGGGAAAGAUUGAAUCUUGAAAGACUGAGCCCCCGGCUAGCAAGAUCGGGCGGGUUAGUGUCCUCUUAAGAAGGAAUACCCAACUUAUGGGGUCAGCUUCGAUCACGAGGAGAGAAGAGCGGACCAUUGAAAGUCUCAAUUCCUAUCCGCCCAAGGUAGAGAGUUCGAUUUUAAAUCCAAUAAUUUAUUGACCUACAAAUCUGCUAUUACGCAACUCAACCCUUCUCCGCAAACUCUUUCAGUUGUUGGAUGCGCAAAACAACCUAUUCCCCUUUACGACGACUCGGUGACCUUUGACACGUUACGCCAGGUUGCACGUAAUCUUGACUUUCGCCUUUCACUUAUGCAGUUGGAUUGACUAGUGACAACAAAUUCAACCUUGAGACCGAGCCUUGCCUCUCACCUUUCGGUUCAUUGCAAGGAAAGACUAAAAAUAAAAAAGGAAUCUUUCGGCGGACACAAGCCCUCGGGACUUGACACUUGGACACCGGGAAUCUUGCCCCAGGGUCCUUCAUUUGGAACUGGCCUUUUCCUUUCCAAAGUGGAAUUCCUCCUUGCUUUCCCCUUUGACCUGUGCCAAACUCUACUUUUGCUGUUGCCAGGUGGAAUGAUUCAUUCAACCUCGGUAUCGGCAACCAAGACACCCUUCUCUGUCGAAUGAAUCUUCAAAUCAUCAUCUUCAAACCACGACUCCGAUCACGAUUUCCAGUUGACUUUAUCUCAGGUGACAGGGGGCAGGAGAACACUUCAUAAAAUAUGCUUUGACAGCGAGCGAGAUCUUUGAAAUUCAAUCAGAACAGCACUGGGUGGGUAAGAUAUAGGAUUCUUGUCUGAGUCGUGUGGAUCACAAAAUGGAUCUAUGAUUUCAAGUCCACUCAUUGAUUUCGAGAAAACUGAAUCAACUGGAUUUCAACGAUGCCUCCAACUCAAGAUUUUGAUUCAUAGAACUGGCCAUCAAAUGUAUAUUCAUCCAUCUAUCAGCUACGUCUUCUUUAGUGAAUAAAAGAGGGACUCGUUUCAUAGGCAGCAAAGAUAGGAAGAAGGGGGAAGACUGCUGUUGAGGUUUUUAUUCCAACUAGCGAGGAAAGGCCUUGUUUUGGUCCUGUAGAAUGAAUGUGAAAAGCAGAAUCCUCAGAAUUGUAUGAUUCAGAUACCUUACGAAAUGAACAGAUAAAAGAUUGGGAUAGCCGGGAUGAUCUAUUUCAAGAUCAGAUGAUCCACCUCUUUGUCCGCUUGGAAGGGCUAACUCGGAUAGGUCAGAUACGAGGGAAAGGACCUAAUUUUUAGAGACAGACUCAGUAGUAUCCCAGGGAUGACACUAUAUACUGAGUUCUUGCUCCUCUUUCUUUACUUCGGGGACAGAGGUCCUACGGUAGGUAAUAGCAGGCACAAAUAAGUUGAUCGAAGGGGACCAUCGCUUCUACUCCUCUACCGAGUAGCCGUUCUUGCGAGAAGCAAGGGAUGUCAUGAAUGGUGGGAGGUCACAAAGAAUGGCUUGUAACUUGAUCAUGAGCGAAUUUGUUGAUGUUGCACCCAUGAAGUAUAGAAAGUACCAAACAUUGGGAAUUACCGGAACUAGAAGAAAACUUUCUUUCUCUUUAUGGAUAACCAAUUCAUUUUCAAAUAUAGUUGGGAGACUUUACCCAAGAAAUGGGUCAAAAAAUAGAAAGAUCAGAACAUGGGAAUAGAUCAUUGAACCGUUCUCUUAUAGAAUGGGUAAGCCGCAAAAGAAUGUUCCUUGCUUCCAGCUAUCCUCAUGAGUCAUUUUUGCUGUAAUCUGUCUCUCGAUAAGAAACUUUCUUUUUAUCCGGGUUAAUCUCGUCUUCUUGAAGAAUUAUGGAUUCCUAAACCUAGUAAGGGAAAGCGAUUCUACUCCAAUUGCAUUCAACAGUUGGAUGAGAGUGAGAAUAGAAAAGAAGCCAGGAGGAAGAAUGGAGUAUAGCAUUACCUCUAGAGUACAACCCUACUCCUGCGCCCCUCAAUCCCAUAUCUACUACUUAGUCAAGCCCUUAACUACUUCUAUAUCUUAGAACAACCCUGCUCUCUAAUCAAUGUUUUAUAGUCUUCAUAUCUAUGGAAAGAGAAAGCUAGGAGAGGAUUCUAAGCAAUUCUAUCGAGCCGAACAACAAAAAGAGAAAGAUAGAAUACCUUUCUUAGCUAGCCUAGAGUACUAUAAACCUACAGGGAACAAGAGCCAGAUCAAAGACAUUUCUUUCAUUCUUUUAUACCUCUCUCUUCUUAGUUGCUCCUCUUUCUAGGGAUCUAAUGGUCGUAGACCACCUUCUUGUGACUAUGUUGAAGAAUUCUUUCCCCCUUUUGAGUUCUCGAGUGAAAGGGUCCAAGCCAUAGGAAAAUAUCCAGUUUCUCUCACAACAUAUGACGUUUAUCCUGAAGUAGCAUUUCUCGAAGUAGCAUUCCCAUAAGUAGAGGAUGAAACCCUUGCUUGUUUAUCCCGACAAGGGUUUAUGAAUCACUCAAAUAAGCCAUUCUAGCCGCAUCUGAAUCGGCAUCCCUAUCCAUAUAUUUAUGCGCAGGGGCAUCCAAAUCCGAAUCUGUAGAAUCUAUUAGGGAAUCCCCAUCCGCACCUGAAUUGGCUAAAUCUAGUAUAGUGGGUCUUGUUACGAUGCGGGAAAAAAUCUUUUUAAAAGGCAUCUCAGCGAAAGAGGAUUGAGAACCAUAAGGCGAGCGCCAAAACGCUAGCACAAACUGCUCCCACAGACACGCAUGAUAAGGGGGUAUGGGGAUAACCAGGCCACCACUUUUACCAGAUAUGGGUCCGGAUGACCCAAGAGCCCGCCACUAGAAUUCAACCCUUAAGAGGCUAAGGUCCAAGGGGCUACCGCAGGAAGUAAGCUUCACCUGUAACCUUAAGGAAUAUAGAAAUUUACCCGAAAUUCCUAGCAAGGACUUUGCCUGCUAUUCAUUCCUAAAUCCCUUUCACCCAACACUAGCUAACUUGAUGGGAUGUCAACAGUGGGAAUGCCAAAAGCAAGACCUGGACCUGGUUCACGCAGUCAAGCAGCAAAGACCUCUUUCUCUUUGGGAGCUUUUGUAACGUCUAUAAAAAAUACUAUGCACCUCGUGAAAGGCUAUUGGGAUCGAUCCCUUUAACCCUCCUUGGCGUGGAAGGUCGCAAGAGAAAAGAAAACUAUUCUUCGUCAGCAGCUUUUUCAACCUACCCGAGGUAAGGAAGUAAAGCAACCAAUAGCCUUUUUACCUACUAUGCCUUUCACCGGGUGAGCAAAAAGUAGUUACCUUUAGCCCGGUCUUCCUUAUUAAUUAUUGAUAAGGCACAGGGGAAGCAUCAUCCUUAUAAGACUGUUGCUAAACAAAAGAAAUUCUUUUUCACAUUCAACCAUGAGAGGGCAAAUUGAGCAAUCAAAGCUACGCCCUCUUCCACUGCUGACUAUGAACAGUUGACAACUAAUGAUUUUGACUUUACUAAGCCAGUUCGGUAAGUUAAGGUCCAUGCUUGAAACAAAAAAGAAGAAGAAGGGGAAGGGGUCGCCCAAAGCUGUGGAGAUAAGGUGGAAGAUAAAAAAGCUAUAUUUAUAAUAAUAAAGAGAGUGCAUCAUGGUGGAGCUACCUCCAUUAGGAUAAAGGGGAUUCCCCCUUUUCUGUAGGAAGAUGGAGUGCAAAAUGCUUAGUAGAUAAUGGAUCUACUUGUAACAUCCAAAUGUUAAUGGGUUGUUAUUUCUGGUCGAAAAGAAUGAUACCAUUGAUAACUUCCCUAUUUGAUUUGUUGCAGGGUGUUUGGACUGCUUCCUUCCUAUUGAUGCUAAAUGGAGCAUUGGUAAGGGUGAUGUGUAAAAGGAUAUUGAUAGGAUGGUGUAAGAACGACAUUCACCAUCUUAUCCUUGUCUUUAUACACUAACAUUUUACCACAAUCUUCGAUUCUUCAUUGGAGAGAUCCAUAGCCGGACCACUCUUCAUAGACAGGAUUCCUAGUUGGAACCCAGGCGCCCCCCACCGAGACCGAUUCAUUCGAUCCGACAGGGUGAACGAGGAUCAAUCAACUGAGUUCUUCCCCAAUUAGCCCUAAUUGGAGCAGAGGCAAAAACCUCCAGAUCCUAUAUAGAUCUCCUCUGGCGUGGUCCUUUAGAAGGGACCAUUAGGUUGUUAUCUCUGGUGUCAUUACCAUUGAUAACUUCCCUUUCUUUGUUCCAAUUAUCGGGGAUUGCUUCUUACGAAG
rnacentral:lncRNA from 1 species